rnacentral:tRNA from 1 species
GGAGUUGUGGCUCAGUGGUAGAGCACUUGCCUAACAUGUGUGAGGCACUGGGUUCAAUUCUCAGCACCA